CACUGCUCCAAACAGCAGACUUCUUUUUUUUUUUUUGCAGUUUUGGCUGGGGCUGGGUUUGAACUCGCCACCUCCAGCAUAUGGGGCUGGCACCCUACUCCUUUGAGCCACAGGCGCUGCCCACACCAGACUUCUUUUCCCGAGGACUACAGCUUCAGCUUAGGCUGCAGCCCCUGUGGACGAGACACCGGGAGGAAAAUGCACAGUGGCUGUGAAGAUGCUGCUCCAGGGCCAAGCUCAGAGGACUUAGGCCGAGCUGUGUUUUCACUUCCAGUUUUACAGAUGAGAAAACUGAAGCUCAUGUUUGUGGUAAAGGACUACUGCAUAUUUUAAGUGAAUCAUUAUACUCUCCUACUGGGGUCAUAAACUCCUAACCAGUCCAGAGAAGCAACUGAAAAUGAGUGGAGUGAUCUGAGUAGAGGACGAGGCGAACUGGGAGGCUCGUGCCCAUUUGGGAACAGAAGAUGCCAGGUAGGAAUUAUUGAGAGGUGUGGCCUCGGGAGGUGAUGGAUGGGUCAGUGGCCUUGCCAAGGGGCCCAGGAAGUUCGUGGGUGAGGACGGGGUGAGAAGUCAGAGAGAGAACGGGUCCUCAUCAGGGGCUGGACCUUGUGGUGUCUUGACCAUGGACUUUCCAGCCUCUAGAGCAAUGCCCUGGGAAGAUGCUGUCUAAAUCCUCUAUGAAGAUUACUCACAAAGAUACCCUACAAAAAGUCGGCUGUUCCAGACAUGAUGAAGUUGCUGGCUCCAUGCUGCUCCUUUGUCUGGACUGUUCCUCCUGACCCCUGGCCCCCUGGGCCCUCUUCUCCUCUGCUCUCCAUAUUUUCUUGAAAUUGUUCCUACUCAGUCUUUAGACCUGGCUGAGCUGUUAUCUCUCUGUCAGGACUUCCCCGCUGUUCCUUCUGCUGUCUCCCUAUCUCCUCCUAAAGGGAUUAGUGUCUCUCGUGAGAAUCUCACUGCUUUCCAUUCUCUGGAAUUGUCAUUUCUGAUUGUGUGUCUCCCCUGCUACAUUGUAAAUACAACGUAUUUAAUAAUACUCUGGGAAUAAAAUCGUGCUGCCUUCCUUUUGACAACUUAUAGUAACAUAAGGA